UUCUGAUUCUAAAUGAUCUGAGCAGGAUAUGCCCACAGUGUCAAGAAAGGCAGCAGGAUGUCUUUAAAAUUGAUCACAUUUGAGUAAGUAUUAAACAUUCAGUUGAUGUUAUUCUUGUAUUAACAUUUUGAAUAACUGAUACAACUUUUCCCAGGAACUUUGCUUAAUGAUGAGGUUGAGGGCCCAUAAUCUGAAAUUCAGCAUUGUGCAGACACUUCUCCUAGUGAUCAGUUGGAUCACGAAGAUGUGAACCAUCAGGAAUCUCAUAGUCGAAGCUGCAGUGACGGUGAAGAGGCCCCCAAUGCUACAUAUCUCACAGCAUCCCACCAACUGGACAUAUCCUGGUGUCCAGCAGAUGGACCAACACAGCCUUUCCUGAGGGUGUAUCCACGAACUGUGCAGGGGGGAUAGAAAGAGAGCCUUCAACAAUUCAUGGUUCACGCACUUCACAUGGUUGAAGUAAAUCGUGGCUCUGCUGAUUUCACAUCUUUUCUUGAACCAUACAAAGAGGUUUUUCAUCAGCUUUUUCACUUAUGUCGGAUAAGUAUAACUUUGCCUGUUAGCAGUACCAGUUGCGAUAAAAAUCAUUUGAGAACAACAAUGAAUGAUGACAGGCUUAACAAUAUUGGAUUGCUUAGUAUUGAAAGGAGAAGGGCAAGGUCAUUGAACUUGGAUGCUUUGUCCAUCAACACCAAAACAGGCGUAUUCAACUGUCAUAAUCUUAAUGCUUUGGUGUAUAGUGGGGCUGAUUUGUUUAACUGUAUAUUCUACAUGGUUUCCUAACAUGUUGUUAGAGUUGUAAUAAAGUUGUUCAUAACUAAACUAAAUUGAUUGUUUCUGUCUCUGUAAGGUAACAAAGAGGUAGGCUUAGAUGCCUAUGAAACACAAGCGUUUAUCUUGCUGAAACUAAUAUUACUACUACUACUACUAC